rnacentral:lncRNA from 1 species
AUUAACCACCUCAAAACUGCCCGAGGGCCUUGCUUUCUCGGGAACCAAACAGAAAAACAAAAGGGCAAACUCGGUGGUGGUGGUGAAGUCAUUAGCCGAGGAGCUUGACGUGAUACCAGUUCAAAGUGAGGAUGUUACAGAUAUGCAAGAAGGAGUUGCGGUGAGUCAGGUGCCGAGAGAAUCGCCAGGAGGAGAGUUAGUGACUCAAGUAGGUGGGUUUAGCAAUGAAGGAAUGUUAUCUUUUGAAGGGGUUUCUUCUUCAGGUUCACCUUCAGGGAACGGAUUUGGUGAUGGACAAGGAAGUCAAGAGG